rnacentral:rRNA from 1 species
AGUGAACGCUGGCGGUAGGCCUAACACAUGCAAGUCGAACGGCAGCACAGUAAGAGCUUGCUCUUACGGGUGGCGAGUGGCGGACGGGUGAGGAAUACAUCGGAAUCUACUUUUUCGUGGGGGAUAACGUAGGGAAACUUACGCUAAUACCGCAUACGACCUACGGGUGAAAGCAGGGGAUCUUCGGACCUUGCGCGAUUGAAUGAGCCGAUGUCGGAUUAGCUAGUUGGCGGGGUAAAGGCCCACCAAGGCGACGAUCCGUAGCUGGUCUGAGAGGAUGAUCAGCCACACUGGAACUGAGAAACGGUCAAGACUCCUACGGGAGGCAGCAGUGGGGAAUAUUGGACAAUGGGCGCAAGCCUGAUCCAGCCAUACCGCGUGGGUGAAGAAGGCCUUCGGGUUGUAAAGCCCUUUUGUUGGGAAAGAAAAGCAGCAGGUUAAUACCCCGCUGUUCUGACGGUACCCAAAGAAUAAGCACCGGCUAACUUCGUG